UAGGGAAUCUUUAGGCAAUGGACGGAAGUCUNNACCGAGCAACGCCGCGUGAGUGAAGAAGGUUUUCGGAUCGUAAAGCUCUGUUGUAAGAGAAGAACGAGUGUGAGAGUGGAAAGUUCACACUGUGACGGUAUCUUACCAGAAAGGGACGGCUAACUACGUGCCAGCAGCCGCGGUAAUACGUAGGUCCCGAGCGUUGUCCGGAUUUAUUGGGCGUAAAGCGAGCGCAGGCGGUUAGAUAAGUCUGAAGUUAAAGGCUGUGGCUUAACCAUAGUACGCUUUGGAAACUGUUUAACUUGAGUGCAAGAGGGGAGAGUGGAAUUCCAUGUGUAGCGGUGAAAUGCGUAGAUAUAUGGAGGAACACCGGUGGCGAAAGCGGCUCUCUGGCUUGUAACUGACGCUGAGGCUCGAAAGCGUGGGGAGCAAACAGGAUUAGAUACCCUGGUAGUCCACGCCGUAAACGAUGAGUGCUAGGUGUUAGACCCUUUCCGGGGUUUAGUGCCGUAGCUAACGCAUUAAGCACUCCGCCUGGGGAGUACGACCGCAAGGUUG
rnacentral:rRNA from 1 species